ACGGGUGAGUAACGCGUGGGUGACCUGCCUUCGAGCGGGGGAUAACGUUCCGAAAGGGACGCUAAUACCGCAUGACAUUCUGCCUUUGAAGAGGUGGUAAUCAAAGCCGGGGAUCGCAAGACCUGGCACUCGAAGAGGGGCCCGCGUCCGAUUAGCUAGUUGGUGGGGUAAUGGCUCACCAAGGCAACGAUCGGUAGCCGGCCUGAGAGGGCGGACGGCCACACUGGGACUGAGACACGGCCCAGACUCCUACGGGAGGCAGCAGUGGGGAAUUGUUCGCAAUGGGCGCAAGCCUGACGACGCAACGCCGCGUGGAGGAUGAAGACCUUCGGGUCGUAAACUCCUUUCGAUUGGGACGAAUGGCCUCCGGGUGAACAAUCCGGGGGAGUGACGGUACCGAGAGAAGAAGCCCCGGCUAACUCCGUGCCAGCAGCCGCGGUAAUACGGGGGGGCAAGCGUUGUUCGGAAUUACUGGGCGUAAAGGGCUCGUAGGCGGCCAACUAAGUCAGACGUGAAAUCCCUCGGCUUAACCGGGGAACUGCGUCUGAUACUGGAUGGCUUGAGUCCGGGAGAGGGAUGCGGAAUU
rnacentral:rRNA from 1 species